rnacentral:rRNA from 1 species
AUUGAACGCUGGCGGCAGGCCUAACACAUGCAAGUCGAGCGAGCGGAGGACGGGUGAGUAAUGUAUGGGGACUGCCCGAUAGAGGGGGAUAACUACUGGAAACGUUGGCUAAUACCGCAUACUAUCGGAUAACCCAUAUGGGAUUAGCUAGUAGGUGGGGUAAAGGUGAACCUAGGCGACGAUCUCGAGCUGGUCUGAGGGGAUGAUCAGCCACACUGGGAGUGAGACACGGCCCAGACUCCUACGGAGGCAGCAUUGGGGAAGAUUGCACAAUGGGCGCAAGACUGAUGCAACCAGGCCGCGUGUAUGAAGGAGGCCUUAGGGUUGUAAAGUACUUUCAGCGGGGAGGCGUUACCCACAGGAGAAGCACCGGCUAACUCCGUGCCAGCAGCCGCAGUAAUAC